CUCUAGAGUAACUCGGGGAGGCAGAGCAGGGGCAGAAAGAAAAACCCAAAGAUCCGUCCUUUGCUGCUCCCCAAAGGAUCACACUUCUCCCAGUACCCCAUCAGUCCAAGCUCCCCUUCGCCCUUCUACUUCUUUGUUCGCAUGAUCCAAUCUUAAAACCUUUAAAUCAACUAAAACCCAGUUUAUUUCCAACGUCUCCAUCUGUUCUGAUCAUGGCCCAUUCCGCAGCAGUCUCGCAGGUUUCUUUUGCUGUUCCUGUUGGGAGCGAUUCCACUCUACGAAGAUCAGUUCUUAAGCCACGCAGUAUAAGCUUCAGUGAUAAAUCAUGGGUCCCUUCAUUAGCUUUGGAUUUGAAAUCAAGGAAUGCUCGAUUGCAAAAUCAUUACAUAGUAUGCAUGUCAUUGCAACAAGCCA
rnacentral:misc_RNA from 1 species